rnacentral:rRNA from 1 species
UACAGAGGGGGCCAGCGUUAUUCGGAAUUAUUGGGCGUAAAGGGCGCGUAGGCGGCCAUGCGUGUCUUCCGUGAAAUCCCUCGGCUUAACUGAGGACGUGCGGAAGAAACUGCAAGGCUUGAGUCCGGGAGAGGGGGGUGGAAUUCCCAGUGUAGCGGUGAAAUGCGUAGAUAUUGGGAGGAACACCGGUGGCGAAGGCGGCCAACUGGGCCGGACCUGACGCUGAGGCGCGAAGGCGUGGGGAGCGAACGGG